UACGUAGGGUGCAAGCGUUGUCCGGAAUUAUUGGGCGUAAAGAGCUCGUAGGCGGCUUGUCGCGUCGGCUGUGAAAACUCGGGGCUCAACCCCGAGCCUGCAGUGGGUACGGGCAGACUAGAGUGCGGUAGGGGAGACUGGAAUUCCUGGUGUAGCGGUGAAAUGCGCAGAUAUCAGGAGGAACACCGGUGGCGAAGGCGGGUCUCUGGGCCGUAACUGACGCUGAGGAGCGAAAGCAUGGGGAGCGAACAGG
rnacentral:rRNA from 1 species